AAAGUGGAUAAAGCUCUAUUGUAAGAGACCCCAUGGGGUAGAAAGCAGGAGGAGCUGUAUAGUUUGGAGCAACAAGCCAGAAAGGCAUAUCCUAUGUUCCUGGCCUGUGUGCACCUCUGUACCUGGGGACCAUUCAUGUUCCUUCAUGGACCAGAUCACAUCUACUGGCGUGGAGACCAGAGGCCAGACUUAAGAUAAGAAACCUAACAACAACCAACCAAUCAACUGUGAAUGAGAGCCCUUGAAAGAGAAUGCUUCCUUAGGCUGAUCACCUGGCAAAAGCCUCAACGACUGUGGAAGAGUUUGGGCCUCAAGAAUAUGCAAUAAAUGUAGAUCUCAGAUCUCUACUGUGUGAAGAGUGUGUGUAUUUAGGAAACCAGGAAGUCCAUGACUGGGUGCUGCCAAGCUCAGCAGCUUCUUCCUGGAGCUCCUCACUUCAGCCCAACACCCCACCUUGCCAGUUCCCACCAAGAGUCCCCACCAAGGGAGAGGAAUCAGAGCCCCUGGUUGUAAUUCAUCACCUGGACCUUUCUCUCAACUCCUUUCUGGACACAAGUAGUGGUGAUGACCUGCCUCCGGCUGGCACCGAGGAUUCAACAGAGGAAUGGCAGCAAGACCCGACUACUGUCCAGGGGCUGCU